rnacentral:misc_RNA from 1 species
GGAAUAAAAGUCGUAACAAGGUUUCCGUAGGUGAACCUGCGGAAGGAUCAUUAUUGUAUAACCGAGGUGCUAGGGCUGUCGCUGACCCGAAAGGUCGUGCACGCCCGAGUGCCCUCACACACAUCCAUCUCACCCCUAUGUGCACCACCGCGUGGGUCCCCCUUUGGCUUGUUCGGAGGGGGGCUUACGUUUUCACACAAACUUUGUAUGCAGUGUAGAAUGUAUUUUUUGUUUUUGCGAUCACGCAAUCAAUACAACUUUCAACAACGGAUCUCCUGGCUCUC